CGUAAAAGGUUGAGACCCAUAAGACUUGUCCGAGGCCUCGUCUUCGGGCGAAGAAGCAGCAGCGCUGUGGGCGCUUGUAAUUCCAGAGUCACUGGAGUCUUGUGCGUCUACGAAACCACCAUCGUGCCAGGGGCUUGUAGAAGAGGUGCUCUAUUGUCUGCUGCCGGAUUGCAGUUGGUGGUAACGGAUGUGACGGGACGUGUACUUGCAACUGUUUCAAAAGAAAUUACAAAUGAAUAAACUCGGUACUGCAAUGGUGGUCGUAGGCUAAAGCAGACUGUAUGUAUGGACAAGAUAGUCGUAUAUUAAUUGUUAAUGCUCCAGCAAGUGUUGGUCACUAAUGCGUUGUCCAAAUUGUCAAACCUUAUAUGCUUAAAAGCCAAAUACAAUAAUCCAUUCAC